CUCCUGAAGCGGGGGUGCCCAGACAGGGCUGAGAGAGUCCCUUCGUACCUGACCCGGGUCAUGCCGGCGUAGGAAGCUUCGUUGCGGUGCCG
rnacentral:ncRNA from 2 species